rnacentral:rRNA from 1 species
AGCAGCCGCGGUAAUUCCAGCUCCAAUAGCGUAUAUUAAAGUUGUUGCAGUUAAAAAGCUCGUAGUUGAAUUUCGGGAUCAAUAUGCCGGUCAUGCCUUGGUAUGUACUGGUAUCUUUGAUUUCUCCCUUCUGACGAACUUUGAUGUCAUUAAUUUGGUGUCAUAGGGAAUCAGGACUGUUACUUUGAAAAAUUAGAGUGUUUAAAGCAGGCUCACGCUUGAAUACAUUAGCAUGGAAUAAUGAAAUAGGACGUUUGAUUCUAUUUUGUUGGUUUCUAGGAUCGACGUAAUGAUUAAUGGGGAUAGUUGGGGGCAUUAGUAUUCAAUUGUCAGAGGUGAAAUUCUUGGAUUUAUUGAAGACUAACUACUGCGAAAGCAUUUGCCAAGGAUGUUUUCAUUAAUCAAGAACGAAAGUUAGGGGAUCGAAGACGAUCAGAUACCGUCGUAGUCUUAACCAUAAACUAUGCCGACUAGGGAUCG